UCGAGAAUCUUCCUCAAUGGGCGAAAGCCUGAAGGAGCGAUGCCGCGUGCGGGAUGAAGGCCCUCGGGUUGUAAACCGCGAAAGUUGGGAGGAAGGGUCUGUGAAGAGCAGGCCUUGACCGAUCUUCAGUAAGGACGGGCUAAGUUCGUGCCAGCAGCCGCGGUAACACGAACCGUCCAAACGUUAUUCGGAAUCAUUGGGCUUAAAGGGUGCGUAGGCGGCGCGUUAAGUCGGGUGUGAAAUCCCUCAGCUCAACUGAGGAACUGCGCCCGAUACUGGCGUGCUCGAGGGAGACAGGGGUAAGCGGAACUGAUGGUGGAGCGGUGAAAUGCGUUGAUAUCAUCAGGAACACCGGUGGCGAAAGCGGCUUACUGGGUCUCUUCUGACGCUGAGGCACGAAAGCUAGGGUAGCGAACGGGAUUAGAUACCCGCGUAGUCC
rnacentral:rRNA from 1 species